CGCGAGCCAGAGGAGUCGCCGCGCCGGAGCGACCGGGAGAGACCGUUGCACCGAAGGAACGGAGAAUAAAGUCUCAUUUCAAGCAAUAACCGAGGGAGAAGCACUGUCGAGAAGCGGAGAGGGUGGGAGAGACAGGUCGUGAAUGAAGGAGUAUAUAUGUGCAAAAACAGGAAUGCAUAGAAGGAUACAUCUUUGAAAUGCUGAAUAAACGUGUGCCUUGUUCGAUAUCGUUGUCGCAUGAAGGCUUACGCUUUAAUCACGUUUCUGAGGCAACCACUAUCGCCAAGGGGAAGAUAUCCUUAAUACGUCUUGAGGCAAGGAAGUGUGUGCGUGUGUGCGUGUCUGCGCCCGUGUUUGUAUCAGCUGCCUCUUGUGUAAAAUUAAACUUCCUGCCCUCCUGGUACCCACAUCUGCUCUCCUGCGAUACAUUCAUAAUGGGCAACCGGCCAAGAAGCAGCUGAGGCAAUCCUGAGACGCAGGUGUCGGUCGCUUCCAGAAUGUGGCAGCCAGAGGCAGCAACUCUUAACCACGGCGUGUUGCUGCCCAAUUCGAUCGACGAAGCGGCAAUCCGUUACGCUCGCUCUUCGACUUCUACCCGUACGAGUGUGUAUACACGUGUGCGCGUACGCGACACGCGGAUAAGAGAAAGUUGAAGCCUCACGAAAUCGUCUUUGCGAAAAUGCCGACGAGCAAUCCUCUAUUAUGCAGGCAGAUACAAAUAGACAAAUUGUAUCAAUCUCGCCAACUUACCGUUCUAGACAUCCAGCCGACAUUAUAAAUCGAUGUUGAUAUACUGGGUUGUUCACGUUGAAAACCAGAAACAAGCCA
rnacentral:lncRNA from 1 species